rnacentral:rRNA from 1 species
AGUGAACGCUGGCGGUAGGCCUAACACAUGCAAGUCGAACGGCAGCACAGUAAGAGCUUGCUCUUACGGGUGGCGAGUGGCGGACGGGUGAGGAAUACAUCGGAAUCUACUUUUUCGUGGGGGAUAACGUAGGGAAACUUACGCUAAUACCGCAUACGACCUACGGGUGAAAGCAGGGGAUCUUCGGACCUUGCGCGAUUGAAUGAGCCGAUGUCGGAUUAGCUAGUUGGCGGGGUAAAGGCCCACCAAGGCGACGAUCCGUAGCUGGUCUGAGAGGAUGGUCAGCCACACUGGAACUGAGACACGCUCCAGACUCCUACGGGAGGCAGCAGUGGGGAAUAUUGGACAAUGGGCGCAAGCCUGAUCCAGCCAUACCGCGUGGGUGAAGAAGGCCUUCGGGUUGUAAAGCCCUUUUUUUGGUAAAGAAAAGCAGCAGGUUAAUACCCCGCUGUUCUGACGGUACCCAAAGAAUAAGCACCGGCUAACUUCGUG